rnacentral:rRNA from 1 species
CCACACCUAAAAACUUUCCACGUGAACUGUCGUUAUUUGUUGUGUGUGUGCGCGUUGGUAGCAUGCGUGUUUGCUUACGCUUCGGUGUUUGCGAGUGCGCGUGCUGGCGGUGCGCAGACUGAACGAAGGUCGUGUGUUGCUGUGUGCCUGCUGCACCGCUGACUUUGCAUUGAUUUGCAUGAUGUUGGCGGAGCGGCGGGUGCUGUUGCGUGCGCGGCUGACCUAUUUUUUUCAAACCCCAUACGUAAAUGACUGAAUAUACUGUGAGAACGAAAGUUCUUGCUUUUAACUAGAUAACAACUUUCAGCAGUGGAUGUCUAGGCUCGCACAUCGAUGAAGAACGCUGCGAACUGCGAUACGUAAUGCGAAUUGCAGAAUUCAGUGAGUCAUCGAAAUUUUGAACGCAUAUUGCACUUCCGGGUUAUACCUGGAAGUAUGUCUGUAUCAGUGUCCGUAAAUCAAACUUGCGUUUCUUCCUUCCGUGUAGUCGGUGGAGGAGAGUUGCAGAUGUGAAGUGUCUCGCUGUGGUUGGUGUUUGUUGUUUGCAAUGAAUGCACAGCUUGCGAGUCCUUUUAAAUGGACACGACUUUCUCUUUUUUGUAUGUGCGCGGUGCUGUGCGUGAACGCGGUGGUUUUCGGAUCGCUCGCGGCUGUCGGCGACUUCGGUGAAUGCAUAAUGA